rnacentral:SRP_RNA from 1 species
GCUGGGCAUGGUGGCCCAUGCCUGUAAUCCCAGCACUUUGGGAGGCUGAGGCGGGUGGAUCACCUGAGGUCAGGAGUUCCAGACCAGCCUGACCAACAUGGAGAAACCCCGUCUCUA